GCUUCACUUCAGGGCGGGAGGGAGAGCGAAAACGUCUGGCUCGAACCAGUUGGCGCUCUCUAAUAUUCUCCAUUGGAUCGUUCGAUCUCUUCGAUUCACAGUCGUUAUUGCUAGGUUGUCUUGGAGUGGAUUCAGGUACUGAAACAGUGAAAGAAAUGGGCUAUAUCGGAGCACAUGGCGUGGCGGCUUUACGAAGAUACAAGUACAGUGGUGAGGAUCACUCUAUUGUGGCGAAAUAUGUCUUGCAACCCUUCUGGAGCCGUUUCGUGAAUUUCUUUCCUCUUUGGAUGCCCCCAAACAUGAUAACUUUUGUUGGAUUCAUUUUUCUGGUCACAUCUGCACUGCUUGGCUAUGUAUAUUCGCCUCAUCUAGAUUCAGCUCCACCAAGAUGGGUUCAUUUUGCCCAUGGGUUACUCCUUUUCUUAUAUCAGACUUUUGAUGCUGUUGAUGGAAAACAAGCAAGAAGAACAAAUUCAUCAAGUCCAUUGGGGGAACUUUUUGACCAUGGAUGUGAUGCACUUGCAUGUGCGUUUGAAUCUUUAGCUUUUGGAAGCACUGCCAUGUGUGGGAGGAAUACUUUCUGGUUAUGGGUUAUUGCAGCCGUUCCUUUUUAUGGUGCUACAUGGGAACAUUAUUUCACGAAUACUCUAAUUCUUCCUACGAUAAAUGGACCCACAGAGGGUCUUAUGCUGCUCUAUCUAUCUCACUUUUUUACUGCAUUUGUCGGUGCUGAAUGGUGGACUCGUCCUAUUGGAAAAUUCUUACCAUUUUUAAGCUGGGUUCCGUUGCUUCCUGAUGUUGCGAUGAGUAGUGCUGUGAUGUUAGUAAUGACAGCUUUUGGUGUUAUUCCCACGGUUGCAUUUAAUGUGUCAAAUGUCUAUAAGGUUGUUCGGGCGAGAAAAGGAAGCAUGUUACUGGCUUUAGCAAUGUUGUGCCCAUUUGCUGUACUCCUUGGUGGAGUCCUGGCAUGGGAUUACUUAUCUCCUUCAGACCUCAUAAAAAACUAUCCACAUUUGGUUGUAACCGGAAGCGGGCUUGCCUUUGGAUUCUUAGUGGGAAGAAUGAUUCUUGCUCAUUUGUGCGAUGAACCUAAGGGCUUGAAAACUGGAAUGUGCAUGUCACUCUUCUAUCUCCCAUUUGCGAUUGCGAAUGCACUGACCGCAAGACUUGGUGGAGGGGUUCCUUUGUUUGGUGAGAGAUUGGUUCUGCUUGGUUACUUCAUCUACGCAGGUGCUCUCUAUUUGCACUUUGCCACAUCAGUUAUUGAAGAAAUGAGAAGUUCUUUGGGAAUCCACUGCUUCAGGAUAAUUAAGAAAGAAGGUUGAAAUCUGCUGGUUUUGCCGUAUUGAGUAUCGGCUUCAAUAUGAAGGCAACGUGUAUUUAGCUAUUUCAGAACCUCGGCUAUCUUCGUGUAGAUUGUACAACGUAGCUAAAUCUCACCAUCUAAUCUAUGAUCACAGAGAAAUGGGAAGCAUCCAAUGGAAACAGAGCACGUCAGACAGCAAAGGUUAUCCGACACGCAAACUUUGAUGGCGAUGGAGGAGGGAGCACGGCGGCAGCAACGAGAGGGAGACUGGAUGCACGCCCGCCCGACCCAGCUCGAUUGAUUGAUGAAUGGAUCUUGGCCGUAUGAUCUGAAGACUUUGUUCCCACUGAGACUCGGGCGCAGGAUGAAGGAGUUGACCCUGCAGCAGAGUAGCAGAGCCCAGAAGCGCUAGCAACAGCGAACCAGCCUUCUUAUUAUGGAGAUUGUUCAAUUUGAAGAAGUGUCAUCUAUCAGCUCGUCAAGGAAGCAGUGGCCAUGAGGGAGAGAGGCAAAGCUCUGGCGGUUUACAGCAACGAUAUGGACUUCUAUUCCUCUGCUUCUGAGUUUCCCUGUAAGAAACACCCUUCUUCUUCCUCUGUUGGUAUCUGUGCUGAUUGUUUGAAAGAUCGGUUGAUCAAGCUUGUUUGUUCUGACUGUGGGGAGCAGAGGCUCUCCUCCUGCUCCUGCUCUGAGAUCUCGUCUAAUCGAAAUUCAUGUACUGUGGAAGUGGGAAGUGUUGGGAGAGUUUCGUUUUUAAUUGAGAAUGAGAGAAAUGGCGUUUCGUUGUUGGGUCCGAUGAAGCCCAAGAUGGAGAAAAGGGAGGAGAUCGUGCUUCUGGAGAGAAGCAGUAGUAGCUGUGUGGAGAGUAAGAAGAGUGGGUUUUGGAGGAUCGGGAAUUUUUUCAGGAAAAAGAGGGAGAAGGGAUGUGAGAGAUCAAGCGUCUGCGGGUUUGAUGAAAAGAGCGAUAUUUGUAUGGUUGAUUACAUGGGUGUCUCAAGAUCGAGAUCUCUCUGUAGUUUUCGUGGCGGCGGGCAUUUUGGGUCGGAGGACGGCGGAGACAUGGUGGUUUCUGGUGGCCGGAGCUCGAUUUCCGGUGCAAGAACAUCUAGUGUCAAUGGAGGACUCGUCUGUGAUUCCGCCAGAAGAAGUGGAUUCAGCGAAACAGAGCCAAGAAAAAGCGGUUUCGAGAGCGAUCACAGAGAUUGUGGAAAUUAUGAAAGCGAUCACAAUGGGUUCAGUUUAGCUAGUAGACGUGUAUUUUCUUUAAAAGAAAGCGAUUUUAACGGGAUGGAUGAAUCUGGGUUCAUAGAUUUCAAGUUGGAUUUCACAUCAGAAACAAGGCCAGACAUCUCUGUUCCCAAAAUGGGUCUGGGUCUGGGUCUGGGUUUGGGACCUUUCUCAAACCCCAACUCUGCAUUUGGGAGCUCGAGGGCUUUCGACAUGGCGCUUUGCAGUGGCUCCACCGGCCAAGGGAUGAUCGGCAGCGGCGGAGGUUCCUGUAGAAUAACAGUCAGUGACAGAGGGAUAAAGAAGGGGAGGAAAAGCUUGAAAUCAUGGAAAUGGAUAUUCAAGCAUCCACCAAACUGGGCAAAUGCUGCAACAUCGAGGAAGAAAGAGGAAGAAUUAAUGUCUAAAACUUGAAUUCAACAAGAACAGAUUAGAAAGUGUCCUUUUUUUCUUCGUUUUAUGUAGGGUUUAGUACAAAUAUUGAUCUGUAUUUCUGUCAUCUUUCCGAAUAUAGUUGGUAAUCGUUCUGUGAACUUCAAAGCCACUCGUGUACUCUGCUCAAAAUCUCUUUACUUGUUCUUGGAGUAUGUGCCUGUCUACUGGCCAUUGCCAUUUGGGGCACAAACGGGCUGUUUGGUUUAGACAUUGCGUAGACAAAGACAAGGAAUGAAAAGCCAGAAUGUCUCCUCAGUGACAGUUCUUUA